AACGCACAUUGCGCCUCUCUUUACGGGGAGGCAUGCCUGUCUGAGCGUCAUUUAACCCAAUGGACCCAUAAUGGGUGUCCGUGUUGGGCCUCGCCCCUGGUUUGCGGGCGUCGCCUCGAAGGAAUCGGUCGAGGGCAGACGGAUGAGAUCCAUUAGGACCGACCGUCUGACCCGACCCACAAAGCUAUGAAACUGACCUCAGAUCAGGCAGGGACACCGCCUGAACUUAA
rnacentral:misc_RNA from 1 species